AGACAGCAGUAGCCCGGGAAUACGUAGGGUGCAAGCGUUAAUCGGAAUUACUGGGCGUAAAGCGUGCGCAGGCGGUUAUAUAAGACAGAUGUGAAAUCCCCGGGCUCAACCUGGGAACUGCAUUUGUGACUGUAUAGCUAGAGUACGGCAGAGGGGGAUGGAAUUCCGCGUGUAGCAGUGAAAUGCGUAGAUAUGCGGAGGAACACCGAUGGCGAAGGCAAUCCCCUGGGCCUGUACUGACGCUCAUGCACGAAAGCGUGGGGAGCAAACAGGAUUAGAUACCCCGGUAGUCCCUGUCUCUUAUACA
rnacentral:rRNA from 1 species